ACGUACAGCCCAUAAUAUCUCAGAUCCCCAUUCCCUCUGUCUCUGUCUCUGUGGAGCGGCUCGUUGCAAUCGCUUUCUUCUUUACCAUUCUACUUUCGGCGAAGGUAGCGUACGGCGUAUCUCCCGAUCAAAUUUACGGCGCCGACAGCGACGACGAAGAUCUUGUGAUCCUUGUAGUCGUCUCCUUACCGCCGAGCAAAAAACUUCCAGAACUCCAAACUCAAGUUCGGAAAGGCCUACGCCAUUGAUGAGGAGCACGAUUACAGGUUCCGUAUCUUCAAGGCUUACCUCCGUAGAGCCAAGCACCAGCAGGAGCUCGAUCCCGGCGCCGUCCAUGGCGUCACGUGAUUAUCCGAUCUCACCGAGUCCUAGUUCCGUACACAUUUCGUCGAAGUGAAUCGGCUCCAUCUUUCUGCCGAUUCUCAGUAGGUUCCGAUCAUUCCUAUUGGCGACCUAGCCUCCUACUUCGAUUGGCGUUACCACGGUGCCGUCACGCUGGUCAAAGAGCAGGAUUCACGUGGCUUGCGCUGGUCUUUGAGUGAGUAACAGCUUGUUGAUUCAUGAGUGUGAUCCCGAGGAAGCUGGUGCAUGCGACGCGAUGGGGGACUGAUGAACUCAUCUUUUGAGUACAUUUUUAAAGCAGGUGGACUGGAGCGGUGGGAGGACUAUCCUUCCACUGGGAGGUAUCGUGGCCCUUGCAAAUUCCGAAACGGCAUAAUCGCUGCCUCGGUAGCCAACUCCAGUGUCAUAUCUAAAGACGACGACCAAAGUGCAACAAACUUGGUUAAGAAUGGCCCUUUAGCAAUUUUCUACUUUAUCUUAGACCGCUGCUGUUGGAGUCGAUGCAAUUUUCCUGCAGACCUACGUAAGAGGAAUUUCAUGCGUGGGUGAAAACUGGGGAGAAAAUGGCUACUACUUAAUCUGCAAGGGCAACAAUAUCUGUGGAUCUGAGUCGAUGGUCUCGUCUGUGGCUGCUACCCCAAACUAAGCCAUUGUUAGUUCCAUUAUAUUAAGGUAACUUGCUCUGACUCUGUAAGUAUGUUUAUAUUAUGGGAAAUGGGUUGUUACAUCAAAUGCUAUGAAACUUGUUCAUUCUCUUGGCCAAUAGUUAUCGCUAGUUAUUGUUGAAUAAUAUGUAUGUUGCAAUUAUCAAUUGAUCAUGAGCCUCUGGAAGCAGGUAUGUUGAUUGAAUUGGGUCUUUUAGAUUUGGGUUUUUCGUCUCUAUUUUUUAUUUCUUUUCCAGUUUUUGAGUGGACCUUACCCUAUUCUCUUGGCGGAAGUUGUCCUAAUGCCAUGGGUGUAGGGGCAGGGGGAGACCUUUUGACUAAUAGACUGAUAGUUGAAAGUCUUAUUCCUUUUCUAAUCCCCUCGAGAUUCCGAAUACUCUAGAAAAAAGAAAAAAGAAAGUUGGGGUGGGACAAUGAGGUAGAAUGAGAGCUAAAAAAGCUUGAAUGCUCAGUCAAUUAUGGGAGGAAAAGAAAAAAAACUUCAUGAGAAGCUGAGAACUAUGUGGUCCAAUGUUGAAAAUCGUCUCUUUGAUCGUGAGAGGGUUGAGGAGAGGGAGGAGACUUAAAGGGAGAUUGUUAUUUGGAUGGAGACUAAACAUAGCCUGUUUUGUUGUCAAUUCCUUUGAAAGUGCAUGGGAGAAAAGGUGACUGGAGUUAAAGAGAAUUGACUUUGAAGGGAAAGCAUGGGGGUAUUUAUUCCGUAGAAUAGCGGUUCUUUGUUUGCUAGUGAAGUGGAAAAAUGAAUUUUUUUAGUUUCGAUUUCUUUUUCUUUUUCUUUUUUUGGAAAAGAAGCUUUUUGGGUACAAACGGAGGAUGUGGAUGUGAAAUUGUAUGAGAAAUGUGAGUUAUUAUUUCCUCGUUAAUGGUAGUUCUAG